AGCGGCGGGGGUAGAACCCGGAAGUCUUCUUAAAGGGCUGGGCUUGCGCUCUUCGCAUGUGCCUUAUCGUAAAGAACUGUUAAACUUUAGGAAAGCGAAGAAACUAUUUAAUGGAUGAAGCGAGAACAGCAGGAAGAAACGAAGGGAAGGUAGUUUUCUAGUACAAACAUAUUGAGAAGAAUGGAGGACAAAGUUUGUGAAGAACCAGACUUUUAUAAAUCAGAGUACAGAAAAGAGCACCUCAGUGUGAAUAAUGUUACAGUGUGAAUCUUCCUUCUUCAACUGGUCUGGAGUUUUACAACCAGGAAUGAAAAGCAACAUAUUGGAAGUGUCUGCUAUCUUCAAGUCGUAUGUUUUGUCUUUACUGCACAGCACAGCUUGCUCGUCUUUAUCACCACGAAUCACAAGACUGUAGCAAAAUGGGGGAAAAAUAUAUAGUUUAUUGACAAUCCAGUAGCCAUUUUCAUUAUAAACAUUUCUCAAACCCUCUAGGCUUACAGAACUUAGAAUUAAGUUUUGACAUGCUGCCUCUGUCUCCUGCUAGCACAAUGAUGGUUCCCCACAGCAAGCAUUGGGCCAACUGAGAGCCACACAGACACCCCACCCAGAGCCUCAUUAAGGAAAAAUAACUAAAGAUGGCCAAGACAGAUCCAUAGAGGCCAAGAGGCCAAAUGGCACUACAUGACAUCUUGUGCAAACUGCUGGGAAGAGCAUAAGACGAAGCAUCCUGAAACUUCAGUCAAGCUGUCUCAAUUUUCCACAACAUGCUAAAGUGGUACUUCUCAAAUUUAUGCAUAGGCAUCUUAGAGAGUGUUGUUCAAAAGCAGAGUGGGAUUCAGUGGGUCUGGGAUGGGACCCAGGGUCCCGUAUUUCUAACAAGCUCCCCAAGAAAGGCCAAGCUGCUGCUCCUGGUACCCACCCAAGUGUCGUCCUUGUUUUGUUCUGAGUACCCCCUCACAAUCAAAGGAGCACAUCCUGGCCUAACCAUAAGUUGUGUUGCAAAAAAAUUGGGACCUUAUGAAAAAAAGGAUGCAGUGGUGAAUGAAAAAUAUGAAGAGGAUAUGUUUACAAACUGGACUAAACCAAAGACUUUGACAAAGGGAUUUUGUCACAGCGGAAGAAAAGCAAGGACGCAGUGGCUCAUGCCUGUAAUCCUAGCACUUUAGGAGGCUGAGGCCAGAAGAUCGCUUGACAGCAGGAGUUUGAGACCAGCCUGAGAAACAUAGCAAGACCCCAUCUCUACAAAAGAAAAAUUUAAAAGUUAGCUGGGUGUGGUCGUGCACACCUUAAGUCUCAGCUACUCAGGAGGCUGGUGGGAGGAUCGCCUGACCCCAAGUAGUCAUGGCACCAUCAUGCAGAGAGCCAUGAUUGUGCCACUCCACUCCAGCCUGGCUGACAGAGUGAGACCCUGUUCCCACCACUCUCUCCCCAAAACAAAGAUAAAGAAAAAAGAAGGAAGAGGAAAGGAUGAAGGUGAAGAGGAGGAAAAGGAAGGAUUAAAGACAAAAGAUGAUGGCAAUGACAGGGGAGUUGGUUCUAGCAGUUUUCCUUGUCUGUAAAGCAUUUAAUUCUCCUAUGCACAACUCGUUUCUUUUGAAUAAAUAAUAAGAAACCUGAAAUA